rnacentral:rRNA from 1 species
UACGUAGGGGGGCAACGUUGUCCGGAUUUAUUGGGCGUAAAGAGCGUGUAGGCGGCCUGAAAGGUCAGCUGUGAAAACUCGAGGCUCAACCUCGAGACGUCGGUUGAAACCAUCUGGCUAGAGUCCGGAAGAGGAGUGUGGAAUUCCCGGUGUAGCGGUGAAAUGCGCAGAUAUCGGGAAGAACACCCGUGGCGAAGGCGGCACUCUGGGACGGUACUGACGCUGAGACGCGAAAGCGUGGGGAGCGAACAGG